GCCCACGUAGCUCAGGCGGCAGAGCACUUCCUUGGUAAGGAAGAGGUCACCGGUUCGAAUCCGGUCGUGGGCUCCG
rnacentral:tRNA from 2 species